CUUAAUUGGGCGUUAAGUUGCAGGGUAUAGACCCGAAACCCGGUGAUCUAGCCAUGGGCAGGUUGAAGGUUGGGUAACACUAACUGGAGGACCGAACCGACUAAUGUUGAAAAAUUAGCGGAUGACCUGUGGCUGGGGGUGAAAGGCCAAUCAAACCGGGAGAUAGCUGGUUCUCCCCGAAAGCUAUUUAGGUAGCGCCUCGUGAAUUCAUCUCCGGGGGUAGAGCACUGUUUCGGCUAGGGGGCCAUCCCGGCUUACCAACCCGAUGCAAACUGCGAAUACCGGAGAAUGUUAUCACGGGAGACACACGGCGGGUGCUAACGUCCGUCGUGAAGAGGGAAACAACCCAGACCGCCAGCUAAGGUCCCAAAGUCAUGGUUAAGUGGGAAACGAUGUGGGAAGGCCCAGACAGCCAGGAUGUUGGCUUAGAAGCAGCCAUCAUUUAAAGAAAGCGUAAUAGCUCACUGGUCGAGUCGGCCUGCGCGGAAGAUGUAACGGGGCUAAACCAUGCACCGAAGCUGCGGCAGCGAACGUAUCACCCAAGACAACUUUGCGGAGUUGACGAUUGACGGAGCGAAGCGACGUCAAAGCGUUCAUUAAAGUCGAGUUGGCUUAGGGAUACGUUCGUUGGGUAGGGGAGCGUUCUGUAAGCCUGUGAAGGUAUGCUGUGAGGC
rnacentral:rRNA from 1 species